rnacentral:rRNA from 1 species
UACGAAGGUGGCAAGCGUUGUUCGGAUUUACUGGGCGUACAGGGAGCGUAGGCGGUUGGAUAAGCCCUCCGUGAAAUCUCCAGGCUUAACCUGGAAAGUGCAGAGGGGACUGUUCAGCUAGAGGAUGGGAGAGGAGCGCGGAAUUCCCGGUGUAGCGGUGAAAUGCGUAGAUAUCGGAAGGAACACCAGUGGCGAAAGCGGCUUCCUGGUCCAGCACCGACGUUCAGGCACGAAAGCGUGGGGAGCAAACAGG